rnacentral:rRNA from 1 species
CCUACGGGAGGCAGCAGUGAGGAAUAUUGGUCAAUGGGCGCGAGUCUGAACCAGCCAAGCAGCGUGAAGGAUGACUGCCCUACGGGUUGUAAACUCUUUUUAUAAAGGAAUAACGUGAGGCACGUGUGCCUUUUUGUCCGUACUUUAUGUAUACGGAUCGGCUAACUCCGUGCCAGCAGACGCGGUAAUACGGAGGAUCCGAGCGUUAUCCGGAUUUAUUGGGUUUAAAGGGAGCGUAGAUGGGUUGUUAAGUCAGUUGUGAAAGUUUGCGGCUCAACCGUAAAAUUGCAAUUGAUACUGGCAGACUUGAGUGCAGAUGAGGAGGGCGGAAU